AGUGAACGCUGGCGGUAGGCCUAACACAUGCAAGUCGAACGGCAGCACAGUAAGAGCUUGCUCUUACGGGUGGCGAGUGGCGGACGGGUGAGGAAUACAUCGGAAUCUACUUUUUCGUGGGGGAUAACGUAGGGAAACUUACGCUAAUACCGCAUACGACCUACGGGUGAAAGCAGGGGAUCUUCGGACCUUGCGCGAUUGAAUGAGCCGAUGUCGGAUUAGCUAGUUGGCGGGGUAAAGGCCCACCAAGGCGACGAUCCGUAGCUGGUCUGAGGGGAUGAUCAGCCACACUGGAACUGAGACACGGUCCAGACUCCUACGGGAGGCAGCAGUGGGGAAUAUUGGACAAUGGGCGCAAGCCUGAUCCAGCCAUACCGCGUGGGUGAAGAAGGCCUUCGGGUUGUAAAGCCCCUUUGUUGGGAAAGAAAAGCAGCAGGUUAAUACCCCGCUGUUCUGACGGUACCCAAAGAAUAAGCACCGGCUAACUUCGUG
rnacentral:rRNA from 1 species